GGAAAGUUGCAAAGAACUUUGAAGAGAGAGUUCAAGAGAACGUGAAAUCGCUGAAGUGGAACCGGAGAGAGUUAACAUAACUUGGUAGCUAUAUUCUCUAUAGUCGCUUAGCUGUGGCUUUGGGGGGUGGACGCUACCUGUUGUUGCGCUGACUGCGUUGAUCAUGCUUUCCUAACAAUGUAGUGUUGCCCACAUUGUGGUGUCUUGCUUAUUGGGAGGUUUGUCAUGGUUAACGUCAAGCCUUAGUUUCUAGGGAGUCAGUGUGAAAGUUAACCACCUUUCCGACCCGUCUUGAAACACGGACCGAGGAGUGUAAUUUACACGCGAGUCAAAGGGCUGAGGAAACCUUAUGGCAUAAUGAAAGUAAAGACCGGUUAACCGGUUGACAUGGGAUCCGACUGAACUUCUUCGAAACGGAGCACCAUGGCCCUGUCUUGUCUGCUUGCAGAUGGGCAGCGGUAGAGCGUGUAGGUUGCGACCCGAAA
rnacentral:rRNA from 2 species